UUGCAUCGUAUUACGUCUUAAACAUGGAAUACCAAGAGUCAGCUGCAUGCACUUUGGAGCUUGUUCAGAGAUUUCUGGUGAGAAUUAAUCCGGAAGAUGGAAAGAAAUGCACAGCCCGACAGGGAGUGAGCAAGAAGACCGGACGAAUUGUCCAGAAAAAAGCACCACCCAUCAACUCCCACGUUAAUAACUUCUUCAUUUGCUCCUUGCUGGACUUAAAAUGGCAGACCUCUAACUAAGCAGUUACAUCUAACAGGUUUUGUGUGUGUGUGUGUG